rnacentral:lncRNA from 1 species
UCUGAGAAGCCAGGGAGAAAAUGAAGAAAAUGAAUGAUGAGGCAAGAGUUGGUGAAAUUGGGUUUCUGAAAUUCUCUUCAUUAAUGGUUCAACUGAGUUAAUCAUUUUCUAAUGUUCACUCUGACACAAUACACGUUGUAAAAUUGCUGAUUCUUUUCAAAUUGUAUAUGACAGCAUAACAAGAGUAGAAGAGAAACAUCUGGACUUUAUGAAAUAGUUGGUUAUGGGAAAAGCUCUGUGUUUUCAAGGUGGUGGUGCAUUCCGGUUUGAGGGCCCAAGCACUGAUCUACCAAUGAUCUUUGCACCCUUAUCACCACUAUACCAGCACGAGAGAAAAUUCGGGAUGGUCCAAAUGACAGACUCCAAAAUGAUUCUGGAUAUUAUGGGCUAAAUCUGUAACAAUAACACACAACAAACUGAGGACUGAAAAUAUAGCUAAUAAAGAACUGUACUUAUUAAUCCAAUGGAAAAUGAAAAUACCCAGGACAUCAGAAAAUCAACGUGAGAAAGCACAAGAAGGCAGCUGCCUGCAAGAAGCCAGGAAGAGGUCCCCCAGCAGAAACCAAAUCUGCCGUCACCUUGAUCAUUGACAUCCCAGCUUCUAGAAUUUAAGAAAAUAAAUUUCUAACUUUGAAGCCACAGAUGGGGUUACACAUCACAAUUCUGGAAGUGGGGAUUGUGGGAUUUGUUCUGUUGGCC